GAGACUGUGACAUACAGAUGAAUGGAGACUGUGACAUACAGGUGAGGGAACACUGUGACAUGUGACAUACAGGUGAGGGGACACAGUGACAUGUCACAUACAGGUGAGGGUACACAGUGACAUGUCACAUACAGUUGAGGGGACACUGUGAAAUGUGACAUACAGGUGAGGGGACAAUGACAUGUGACAUACAGGUGAGGGGACACAGUGACAUGUGACAUACAGGUGAGGGGACACUGUGACAUGUGACAUACAUGUGAGGGGACACUGUGAAAUGUGACAUAUAUGUGAGGGGACACUGUGACAUGUGACAUAGAGGUGAGGGACACUGUGACAUGUGACAUACAGGUGAGGGACACUGUGAUAUGUGACAUACAGGUGAGGGACACUGUGACAUGUGACAUACAGGUGAGGGACACUGUGAUAUGUGACAUACAUAUGAGUGGAGGCUGUGACAUACAGGUGAGGGGACACUGUGACAUGUGUCAUACAGGUGAGGGAACACAGUGACAGGUGAGGGGACACUGUGAAAUGUGACAUACAGGUG